UCAUCCUACAGGCCUUGGAGGGGAGCAAGGGGCGACCCCGCCAGGUGGCAGCGUUCUCGGGGCACAGAUGUAUCGCAACCGCUCUGUCCACCUGGGGGACCCCCGUGUAACCGUGGGCCGCUCCGCCGUCGAGGGUUCUGAGAGCAGAUGAGCGAGAGGCACGGUGACGGGUGGAGAAGGGUGUCCUCCACGAGCUCAUCAGCUCAUCAUGCACUUCCGGGAAGAAAGACAUGCACUUCCAGCUGUGAGCAGUGCACAGACCCGAGGAACCAAUCAUCCAGCCGCGAAGACUGUAGGGAGGACGGAGGGUUCCAGUCCAACCCCAUGCUGACGGCGCCCCGGGCAAGCAUGUCGGACAUCUGGUCGUCAGCCUCUGCCUGGGCAUGCUGGCCCGAAGGCAGCAGCCCAGUUGAGUCAUCCGCGUCAGACGCCGGACCACUCUCCGAUGCAGCGGCGAGCUCAUCCAGCUCGGGGGGCUCAAGAGGAUAGGCAGGCAGACUGGCUGUGAGGCGAGCCGCUGUUCUCUCAAGCCCGGACGGAAGUCAAUGGGCGUGUUGGGGGUGGGUGGUUUGCAGGGACAUACCCGGCAAAACCGAGCCCGCUGCCAUCCCCAAAUCGCCUUCAUCGCCAAUCGGGUCGUCCUCAAUCUGGUGGGAAGAAGGAGCGACGUGGGGGGCAUAGUGUGGUUUUCCUUCUGAGGAAGGAAAGCCGCGACCGCAACGUUCCCAUGGUCAUGUUCUCGCAGUGAGAACAUGAGCCAUCCACAAACGCUGCCUCGGUGUCAUGGCUGCCCAGACACACGAGAUGGCGCCUGUGGCCAUCAGGAGCGGAGAGCACUCUACUGCAUCCAGGAACUACACAGGGGCGGAAGGGCAUCUUUAUAAAGACGCGUCCUGAAAAGGCUGUUCAACGCCAGCCACCCAGUAUUCCCCUCCAAGGCCUGUAGGACAACAUGACUGCGGAUGUGCGGUCAUGACAGGUCUCGCUUAACAGAGAAUGGAGGCUCCACCACCAGGUGGUCCAGCUGAUUUGGGGCACAGGUAGAUCUAUUUGCCUCCAAAGACAACUCCCACUGCCCACUCUGGUACUCCCUAACGGAGGCCCCUCUCGGUACAGACACGCUGGCACACAGCUGGCCCCGGGGGCUGCACAAGUAUACAUUCCCCCAGUGAGAAGACUUGCACUGGUUCUGUGCAAGGUCAGGGAGGACGGGGAACAGGUCACCUUAGUGGCUCAUUACUGGCCCACUCGGAUCUGGUUCUCGGAUCUCAUGCUCCUUGCGACUGCACCUACCUGGCAAAUUCCCCUGAGGAAAGACCUCCUUUCUCAGGGACAGGGAACCCUCUGGCACCACACCCAGACCAGUGAAACCUCCAUGUCGGGCCCCUGGACGGGACGCGGAAGACUUAAGUGGUCUACCACCUACAGUUGUAGACACGAUCAACCGAGCCAGAGCUCCCCCAUGCAGCUUUACACCCUCAAGGGGCAUCUGUUCGCAAAUUGGUGCUCUUCCGGAUCUGAAGACCCGCAGAGAUGCGCAGUUCUGUUAGUGCUUUCAUUCCUGCAGGAGAGGUUGGAGGGGAGGCUGUCCCCCUCCACCUUGAAGGUGUAUGUUUCUGCUAUCGCAGCCCACCAUUGGACGGCAAGUCCCUUUCUAAGCAUGACUUGAUUAUCAGUUUCCUUAAGAGGUGCCCAGAGGUUGAAACCUUCCCGGCCAAGCCUGUUCCCCUCCCGGGAUCUCUUAGUGGUACUCUCAGGCCUUCAGAGACUCCCUUUCGAGCCGCUUGAAUCAGUUGAGCUCAAAGCCCUCUCCUUGAAGACCGCCCUCCUGAUCAUGCUCGCUUCCAUCAAGAGGGUUUGGGACCUGCAAGCAUUCUCUGUCAGCGACACUUGCCUGGAUUUCGGUCCGGCAGAUGCAACCGGCUAUGUGCCCUAGGUUCCUACAACCCCCUUCAGGGUUUAGGUCAUGAACCUGCAAGCGAAGCUGCCCCGGGAGGAGGCAGACCCAGCCUCUAUGUUGCUGUGUCCGGUACGUGCUUUGCGUAUCCAUGUGGAUCGCACGCUGGGCUCUAGAUACUCUGAGCAAAUCUUUGUCUACUUUGGUGGACAGCGGAAAGGGAACGCCGUCUCCAAACAGAGGUUGGCUCAUUGGAUUGUUGAUGCUAUCCCCUAACCUAUCACACCCAGGCCGUGCCCCCCCCCCCCCCUUGCGAGUUCGAGCACACUAGAAGUAUGGCAUCCUCGUGGGCACUGGCCCAUGGCACCUCCCUAGAAGACAUCUGGGCAACACCCAGCACCUUUGCUAAAUUCUACAAAUUCAGUGUUGAGUCUGUCUCGUCCCGUGUUUUGUCAGAUCCGAGCUGGUAGAACUCGGUAAUACGCUUGCAUCUUGCACCCUUCACCAAGCUGAUCCAGUGUGCCUUCUUUCCCAGGUUAGCCACUUAGCUCUCGCUUCCUGGAUGCUCUUCCUCCCUAGCCCUAUGGCCGACAAAUUCAGUGGAGGAAUUCACCGCCAGACCCACCCCGAGUUGAGUGCUGCGUGUUGGGUUUGGGCUCCACAGGCCUAGUUCCCGCUUCAGGCAUCUCCCUUUGAUAUUUUCCGCAAUAUGGUCCACCUGCUGGCAGGACCCGCAUCUCCCUUGGGCAGUCCUCGCUGCCCCGGAGCUGUGUCUUACGUGCGGCCGACCCAGCUGCUUCUAGCACGCAGCAGCCUGCUUGCACCUGGCUCGGCAGUCACGUAACAGGGGUAGUGCAUGGCGUUUUGAAGUGGGACCCCUUGUGUCACUACAAUCAACACAAUGUCGAGUGAGUGACAGAAGGGGAACGUUAUGAUUACUGUUGUAAACUCCGUUCUCCGAUGGAAGGAAUAAGACAUUGUGUUCCCUUUGCCACGUCACUAUCCUUACCACUGUAAGUGGUGAAAACCUGUUUGACAUUCACUCCCCCGCUCCCCUUUAUACCCGUUUGUCCGAGGGCGGGGCAUGCAAAUUCUGUCUGCCAACUUGACAUUGGCCUUUUCUCAAGUUCAGAGGUACGCGAGGCUCUCAGAAGAGACCCCUUGUGUCAGUACAAUCGACACAACGUCUCGUUCCUUCCAUCGGGGAACGGAGAUUACAACAGUAACUAUGACAUUAACCUAUUGAUACGCACCCCCUUUUUGAGUACAAACCAUGAAAAUGACAUACCUGAACUUCAAUGGUUGUAUUACUGGACCCUUUGGAGUAUGGACACCUUUUGAAAGAAGACACGUUGGGCUUUAUUUCCCAAGUUUCAGAAUUAAUAUAUGUUGUUCAUUUUUUUAAGUUAGAGAAGCUGAAAUGUAUAGCAAGUACAAAGACACAAGUCUAAAGAAGUUAUGUUUCAAAUUUGAAGAUGAUCUAACAAAAAAUGAGGUUCCUGCAAGCUUUUUUCUCUGUAAAAUCGCUGCUGGUGUACAGAGUAAAAUUAAGGCUUCGCCUUUCAAGAUGACACAAAAUCUGACUGCACUGCUUGUUACAUAUUAUGAAUAAAACUAUGCCGUAUUUUUUAAAAUAGACUUUGGAGACAGACUUGUUUUGUUUAGGAGACUCUAAUAUAUAAGAUAUUAUACAGUUUUACAAUAUGAAUGCUGCUCAGAUUGCGUAGUUUGUUGAAGAAUGAUGAUGAAGGGUAAUUCUUUCAGGCGACAUCUCAUGUAAACAAUGGAGAAUAUAUCAAUAUUUCUCAGAUUUAUCACUUUUAUAGACAAAAAGUGCUAUUGGAUGUUUUUCAAUGAACGCAUGUCAUGAACAAUUGACCCAAGUGUGUUGAACUGGAUUCAUCAAGCGAUCGCGUUUUCAUAACAAAUGUAUGAAGUCCCGUUUUGAUAUUGCAAGUUUUCAUUUGUACUCCUGGCACAAAUAACUAAAUUGCUGUUACUGGAGCAUUGCUAUCGUGAAACAGAGAUCAGAUAUCAAUGUUGAACCUUUAGACCUUUGAAAAUAUGUAUAAAUUGUUAACAUAAAUUACAUAUAUAGAUGGUAAAUUAUAUAUUAAAUUUAAAUAGUGACGUCACUACCGCAUGCGGGGGUUUUGCUUAUCAACAGGUUAAUCGUCAUGAUUCUAACUUCGGCAGUAAUAUUAUCUGUUUGCCCUUGUAUACUGAUUAUGAUAAAUUGUGUCUGGAGCAGUGUUUAAAUAAAUGCAGUGGAUACAUUUAUUGUUAGUUAACAUUACUUUAGUAAUUAAAGAUUUGUCAUCCUCCUCAACUAAAUAACAUUAGACGGAUCUUGGAAUACUCCAGUGCAUAUAUCUGCGAGUGUGUGUGAGCAAGUGAGUUUACAGCAGCGGGUGAGCUGACUGAACUGACUUGAGCUGACUGGCGUGCGAGAGAGAGCAGAAAAUGCAACCUUUUAUUUGAUGUUAUUACGAGACUGAGAAGUGCAAAAAUAUUUAGGAUGAUAAGUGUAAAAAUGUUUUCGGUUCAUUAUGAGACUGUGACGGGUCAAAUUAGACUGUGGCGGGCCAUCAGCAUCCAGUUAAGUAAUGGGAAACACUGGUAUUCUGUUAAGUCUGUCAUCCACUAGAUGGUACCAUGGAGCACCAUAAUGCUUUUCCUGUGAGUUAAUUGAUUCUGGUUCCUAUUCUGGUAGUUGCUAAAGAUAAUUAAUGCUAAUUGUUGGUUAAUUCUAAUGUUAGUCACUUAAGUGUUAAAAUGAUAUAAGACCAAAUAAAGUUCUUUUUGAGAAAGAGUCUGUUAUUAUUACUUUUUCCAACUACUGUGUCUAGCCUGGUCCAAACUCAGAAAUCCCUGCUCUGAAUGUCCUGAAUAAAACCUCAUUAAAUCAUAAAACAUGCGUCAAUGUGCCUGAAUCAUCUGGCCACCUGUCAAACAAGCAGUAAAUGUGUCUUGUGGAGUAUCUUACUGUUGCCAGGACAUGCCCUCCAUCCAUAACUGAGCUGAUAUUUCUUGAAAACCUACUUGUUUGGCAGGGUUAAUUACAUAAAACUGGGGUGGGGAAUGGGGGGAUGGGUGGUGUAUUUAAAAAAUAUAUACUUCUUUUGUACCUCAAAACAUAAGUGAAUGCCUCUGAACACAUUGAGCAGAUUAAUCAAAAAUAAUUUCUUUAUACAUAAACUUAUAUUGUCAGUUUUGUAAAGAGUUUUGUCCCAGCACUCAUUCAGUUAGCUAUAAAACAGUAAGUAGAUUCAGUAGCAUAUGAGAUACAAAAUUGAAACCUCCAGCCCUUUGGACUCACUGUAAAAAUAGAUUCUCAAAGUAUCAUUUGGGGUCCCUUAAUAGCCAAAUUGAUCUCUGACCUCUGGAGAUUUUUCAGGCACUCUUUUAGGUCUCUGAGGCCACAUCCACAUUCAGUCUAUUUGAUAAGUUUAUGCCUCUCAUCCGGAGACUUUUGAAAAUGCUCUCCAUAACCACAUACUUUGGAAAAGUUAUGUAACUGAAAACAGAGGCUUCAAACUUAAAUGGAUUAGUGUGGACGUAGCUUAAGAGACCUAGAAAAGGUGCCUGGUGGAUAUCCAAAGGUUCCAACUGAGGAACCCUAAAAAGAGUAUCUUUUAAUUUUUACAGUGUUUGCUUUUGCAAGUUAUUGAAUUCUGACUGUCAUAUACAGGCCUGAUAUUAUCAAUACUCACUGUUAGAUUACUUACAUCUGCUUGCCUUGAGCCAAUGACUGUCAAUGUCAGGAAGGAAGAACAUUGUGACAAAAUUUGAGGGUGUGUGAUGAAGAUACAAUGAGCACAGAUAUGGACAGACUGAAUAAGCUCUGCCUAAAGAGGGCUAUUAAUUUGACCACCAUGAAAAGUACAAUAUAUAAUCAGUAAAAUAUGUUCUGCCUUUUCAUGAGUCUAAAUAGUUUCCAUUAAGACUUAACACAACAAACUUCAAUAAAAAACAUUAAAAUUGUAUUUGGGGGUUGUAAGAUAUGGCAUUUUUUUGGGGAAAUGAUUUAUUACAUUAUGUUGUGUAUAUAUACAGAUUUUAUUUAUAUUAUUUACAUCCUGAGGAUGCUCUGACAGAGAUCCAAAUAUCCUGAACAUCCAUGCUGAAAUUCUUGUGGUUGUAGGCAGGCAAAUGUUAUUAAUAAAUAGCAGAAAGUUUGGGAACAGAGGAAGUCUUCCCUGUUGGCUUGAGUUUGCAUGGCGGAAUUCCACGUGGGUGUAGGAGUGGGGGAAGUGAAGUAUUUGUGAAACCAGCAAAAAUGAAUCAUCAAGCAGCCUUUUUUUAAACUGCACUUUAUACUCUGGGAAAGUGAAAUUAUAAAGAAAUUCAAUGCUACAAUAAUUUCCUUGUCUAUUGAGUGAGGACAGUGAAUAUUAAGUGUAGUUAUGUAUGAAGCACUGUCCAGAGAGAGGUCACUGCAAAACCAAGCAACUUCCUAUUGGUCAACGCCAUGAAUUUGCGACUAAUCAACUAAUCAUCCUUAAUUAUUGUGCGUCCAUGAGAAUAUAAGUGAAGCUGUAUUUCAAUAUAAUUUCCCUCUCAAUAUAAUUUAAGAUAUGUCCUUUAUAUUUAUGUUUUAUAGUUGUACAACUUUGUGCACUCAUUAUUAUUAUAUUUAUAUUGUUUUUCUAUGUUUCAUUAAUGUUUGUACAUGUUCUUUCCUUGCUUAUUUCUCAUGGUUAUGUAAUUUUAGUGUGUAAUGUGUAAUUAUUGAUAAGUAUUUCAUGAUUCUAUUAUUAUAGCAAUGCAAGUGUAUACAGUACAGUAAAGUACAUUACAGUACUUCAGUAAAAUAUUGAGGGAAUGAAGUAAGCUUGUGUAAACUUGUACUUUAAAAACCUUCCACUGCACCACCAACAAACACGUAGCUUCUUAUUUUCAUUUGAAAUGUACUGUAGACAUGUUUGAACUCAAAUCUCAAAGGUCACACUUUGAUGAGCUCCGACUUUUUUGGCACGACCAUUUCAACACUAGACCGCAAUGCCAUGCAUAAGCGGCAGCCUGGAAUUUGCCAUAAAAUGUCAAAACUCUUAGAAUUUUGAGAAAAUGUUAAUUUACACCGGCUUUCAAUUUCUGCUCCUCAUCUCUUAGUUGCUUUGUGAUUUAUGUCUAAGGUAUUUCCCUUCAUGUCCAGCUACCAAUCAAGGCUUUUGUGAUCAAAAAAAGAAAAGAAGUUAAAAAAAUAGUUUAUGACAGAGGAGAGAAUUGCCUAUUUAAACACCUCCAAAACAACAUUCACAGUGUCAAUAGGUGAGUUCAAUUGUUUAAUAGAAUGGUUAAAAUUGCAAAACAUCUUCAUCUGGGAUUUGAACAUGGGACACAUCACACCAAGUGGGUUAGUCAUACCCCUUUUAUGCUACUAUUUUAUGCCAGCUACUAUUAUCAGUUAUUGUUGUUGUUUUUUAUUGUGCUAUUUGUAUGCAUCGUUGAUUUUUUUUUUUUUUUGGGGGGGGGCUAUAAUUCAUCCUUUCUUAAUGUAGUAUAUGAUAAUACACAGAUGCUAGCCAUUUCUUAUCCAUCCCCAAAAUCCCAAACUGUAUACCCCAAGAACACCUAGACCACCUACAUGUAAACCCUCCCUGUAAAUCCACAUUUAAGCACAAUAAAUAGUUGGUAAUGUUGCUUAUACCUCUGUGGCAGGGCGGAGGGCGGGGCCGGGUCAUGGUGAUAAACACCCGGUCCCUUAUCAGGCUAAUCAAGCCUCCGAGAGGGAUUGUGCGGGAGAGAGAGAUGGUUUACGGACAUGUCCGUCAUGUGUGUUGUUGUCUUUUAAGUUUAUAAUUAAAAUAUUGUUUACAUUAUCAAGCCGGUUCUCGCCUCCUCCUUUCCAUUGACUUCUUUACAAUCUCAUUCUUCUACCACAAAGAUGACAAUUUAAGAAUUAUUUGAAAAAGCCAAACCGCACACCUUUAAUUGAUUGCCAUAGAAUAUAUUGCAAAUAAUGUAUUUUGUUCAACGAUACCUGUAACAAUACCAAGAUCUCACACUUCAUAAAAACAUUCCUGUCUCGAAACAUAAGACUUGUACUAAGAGCAUAAAAGUAUAUCUUGAAAUCAGUCUCAUUUUCUUUCAAUUCCCUUUUUUUCUCCCUUCUUAUUCUGGUGUCUUCUUUCUUUCUCAUAGCCUUUUUUGUCUUUUCUGAUCUUGCAUUUUAUUGCAUGGUUUAUAGCUAAGAUUUUCUGUAGGCAAAACAUUAUUUUAUGCAAAUGAAUUCCCAUAGUUUUCAAGUUGUGCAUAAACAACCAUGUCUAGGGCAGGGCUUGUAUUACUCCUCAAGUUCUCUUUGUUCCUUAAAUAUCACAUCUAUGGAUAUUCCCUCCCCUUUCCUCUGUUUUUUCAGACUAUUUUGAUAAUAUUUUCCAUUUUCCAUGAAAAGAACUGCAGAAUGCAAGGCAGUCCGUAAACCACAUAUCCUACGCUUCAGAGAUUUUAUUAAGAAACACCCUUCCUAUAAAGCACAUUGCUUGCAUUCCUGAGAUUUCCCCGGUCUGAAUCGGGUGGUUGAGGAGUGUGACGAAGAUGAGGCUGUGGUUGGGCUGUCAGGACGCUUGCCCGGUGCUGAAUUGGCGAGCCAGAGGCACCAGUUCAAGAGAGAGACACAUGUAUUUUGUUUAAGUUCAUUUAUGUCAAUAAAGUUAUGUUGACUUUU